AUUGAACGCUGGCGGAAUGCUUUACACAUGCAAGUCGAGCGGCAGCGCGGGGCAACCUGGCGGCGAGCGGCGAACGGGUGAGUAACACAUCGGAACGUACCCAUUGGUGGGGGAUAACACAUCGAAAGAUGUGCUAAUACCGCAUACGACCUGCGGGUGAAAGGGGGGGAUCGCAAGACCUCUCGCCGUUGGAGCGGCCGAUAUCGGAUUAGCUAGGUGGUGGGGUAAAGGCUCACCAAGGCGACGAUCCGUAGCUGGUCUGAGAGGACGACCAGCCACACUGGGACUGAGACACGGCCCAGACUCCUACGGGAGGCAGCAGUGGGGAAUUUUGGACAAUGGGGGCAACCCUGAUCCAGCCAUUCCGCGUGAGUGGAGAAGGCCUUCGGGUUGUAAAGCUCUUUCAGCAGGAACGAAACGGUGUGGGUUAAUACCCUGCAUCAAUGACGGUACCUGAAGAAGAAGCACCGGCUAACUACGUGCCAGCCGCCGCUGUAA
rnacentral:rRNA from 1 species